GACGAACGCUGGCGGCGUGCUUAACACAUGCAAGUCGAGCGGAGCGGCGAACGGGUGCGUAACGUGAGAGUAACUGCACCCCUCUCUGGGAUAACAGUUGGAAACGGCUGCUAAUACCGGAUAGUGGGGGAUGACUCUCGUCCUAUCGGCUUUGUGGUUGGGUAGUGGCCUACCAAGGCGACGACGGGUAGCCGGCCUGGGAGGGCGACCGGCCCCAUUGGGCUGGGAUACGGCCCAAACGCCUACGGGAGGCAGCAGUGGGGAAUAGUGCGCAAGGGGGGAAACCACGAUGCAGCAACGCCGCGUGCGGGAUGACGGCCUUCGGGUUGGAAACCGCUUUCAGCCAUGACGCGGUAGUGGCAGAAGAAGCACCGGCUAACUACGUGCCAGCAGCCGCGGUAAUAC
rnacentral:rRNA from 1 species